rnacentral:rRNA from 1 species
UGGGGAAUUUUGGACAAUGGGCGAAAGCCUGAUCCAGCCAUGCCGCGUGCAGGAUGAAGGCCUUCGGGUUGUAAACUGCUUUUGUACGGAACGAAAAGACUCCUUCUAAUAAAGGGGGUCCAUGACGGUACCGUAAGAAUAAGCACCGGCUAACUACGUGCCAGCAGCCGCGGUAAUACGUAGGGUGCGAGCGUUAAUCGGAGUUACUGGGCGUAAAGCGUGCGCAGGCGGUUAUAUAAGACAGUUGUGAAAUCCCCGGGCUCAACCUGGGAACUGCAUCUGUGACUGUAUAGCUAGAGUACGGUAGAGGGGGAUGGAAUUCCGCGUGUAGCAGUGAAAUGCGUAGAUAUGCGGAGGAACACCGAUGGCGAAGGCAAUCCCCUGGACCUGUACUGACGCUCAUACACGAAAGCGUGGGGAGCAAACA